UAAAAAAAACGUCUUUCAAUGAUUGUAGAUGCCACUGUCAAGUAAAGAAAAGCUGCACGCUACAGGAAGCGCAUUCAAAUUGAUCCAGCUGCAACAGAGAGAUAUCUUGCAAAAAAAAUAAAGUAAUCAAAAGAGGAAGAGUGGGAAAAAUUGUGAAGCCCCCAAUCAGUGAGCUGUCCAGAGCAGAACAGAAUGAAGAGAGGAAACAAUGGAAGGAAGAUCAGAGAAGGCCCAGGGAAAGAACUAUGGAGGAAAUCUUCAAUUGCACACCAGAGUCGCUGGAUACAACUCUCAUUGUGGCACCUGAGUCAGUGAUCCACCUCCCAAAGCAGAGCUUUAGCCUGACCCCCCCCCCCCCCCAACAUUGAUGCAGAGAAAAGUUUAGAUCAACAGCAACUAAGAGCAUCUUCGACACCACUGAGAGCAAGUAGCUUUAGAUGAAGAGACAGCGCAAAGUUACGCCAUAAUUUGAACAUGAUGAAAAGGAAAAUGGAGGCUGCCAGAAAAAAAAAAAAAGAUUUCAAAAACACCUAGAAAGAAUUAAAACAGAACAGAGCCAGGAAACAGGAAAAUGCUAAAUCUACCACAGAAGGAAACACGGGUGCAAAGAAACUGGCUGUAGAAAGGAAAGAGAAGGUUGUGGAGUUCCUCUGUUGUGAUGAGAACAGUCGCUCGCUGCCAGGGAAAAAAGACACAGCGACAAUGAA